CGGAGGAAGGGGAACUGGACAUGAAAAUACAGCGACAGAAAAGAAAGUAAAAUCUGGUCACCUGUCCAGUGUCAGCAGAGAUAGACUCCAGCCCCCCUUCAACCCAGUACCCGGAUAAGCGGAUCCCCACAACGAUUCAGCAUCCUACUUGAAAUCACCACAAUUAAGAUAAAAGGAAGGUGACGCAGAUGAAUGACCUCAUUAAUCUGAUAAAGCCAACGCUGUCAUUGGAUUACAGCCUCCUCAAAAACAUUGAUUUUGUCACUGAUGUCAUGGUGCCAGAGACCACAAUUGACAUCCUGGUGAGACUAGAAGGUUUUUCAAGAUUUUAUGCCGAGAAAAUCCUCGGAACGAUCAUCGAGUGAUCAGACGUCCCAUGGGGUGAUGUGGCAGCUGCAGUUUAGUUCCUUAUGCUCAGUUCAUGCAUUCAUACAACAUACAUUACAUCUUACACACAUGCACAU